rnacentral:tRNA from 1 species
GGGCUGCUAGCUCAGGUGGUUAGAGCGCACGCCUGAUNNGUGAGGUCGGUGGUUCGAGUCCACUGCGGCCCA